GGGAAAGGUGUCGCCCCUGGGAUGCAGCUGGCCCUGCUGAGGAGGCUGCUGGCAUGGCUGUGCUGAGAGAUGGUCACAGUUGGCGUUAAAAUCACAGAUGGCAUUGUUAAGCCAUUGGGUCAUCCAGUCCAGAAGCUGGAUCUUACCUGCACUUUCUAUUUCCAUGAAACAAAUCUUCUACAUUGCCCCAGCCAGUUUAAGUUGCAUUUCUCGGCCACUUGCAACUCAAAACUUCCUGUCACGAUGCAUUUCUAUCUGCAAUGAUCUGCUUUCAUAUCUGCCUUAGAGAGGACAGUGACCUCUUUUAUUAUCCUCUGUGUUCCCAGCUUCCAGUCAGUGUCUAGGACACCUCAGGCACUUAAUUAUUGUUUGUCGAAUUUAUAGGACAUGACUCUUACCUCACAGAACCUUCAAUCUCAUUGAAAAAUGAGAUGCGUGGAUAUGAAUCUGAAUAAGAUGUGAGGCCAGCUGUGAUUAAACCCCAACGCUAGUUCUCCAGACAGUGUUGUCAUACUUAAUCCUCCUCCUUGAAGCAAUGCGGCUGUGAAUGAACAGGUCAAAAUACCGGAUGACAAACCUAUUCAUAGGCCCAACUGGGCUUUGGUAUACAAAAGUCAUAGGGAGGAGGGGAAGCUUUUUUCCUUAAAAGGUAAGUUGGCAUCAUUAUUGAAAGCAGGAGACGGGCUCCAAACAGAGUAUCCAUUAGAACAUGUUUGGUUCAAAUGGGACAGAAAAGUGGUUGCAAAAUUGCAUAUGCCAAAAAAAAAGAAAGAAAGAAAGAAAGAAUUGAUUGCUUUAUGUGCAUGAAAACCCCCAAGGGUAUGUUCUUCAGGGACACAAAUGAUGUGAACAGAAGAGCAGCUUCUCAGCAUCCCUCUGCUCUGCCUUUCUCAGGGUUGGCUUCCAUCCCUUGCUCUGCCUGAGAGAAAGAUGAGGACAGCAACCCCCACCUGCACAUCCUUGUAUGUUCCCAGUGGAGCAGGAGCCUGGCUGGUUCCUCCUGCUCCAGCCCUGGGCUUGGGGCCCCACUCACCUGCCUCACUCAACUCAUCUCUCCCUUCCUCUUUCUUCCAACCCUGGCCCAAGGAAUCCUUUCUCUCCGAGGCUGCAGGGGACCCAUCCUUCCUCACUUAUCAGCGUGCUCCCAAAUGCAGUGACUAUAACUGAAAGGCCUUCCUUUUUCCAAAAAUGAUGGCUAUUUGAAACUCAAAAGGCAGUGAUUGAGUCUUUAAUACGUUAAACACAGAGAUACCAUAAGACCCAGAAAUUCUCCUCCUGGGUAUAUACCCAAAAGAAUUGAAAGCAAGUGUUCAAGCGGAAUCUUGUAUGUGAUAAUUCAUAGCAGCAUUCCUUAUAAGAGGCAAAAGAUAGGAAUAGCCUAUCAUCCUUCAACUGAUGAAUGGAUUGCAAAGUCCGGUUUCUCCAUAAAACAGAAUAUUAUUCAUCCACAAGAAGGAAUGAAAUACUGAUACACGCUACAACGUGAAUGAACUUGAAGUCACUAUGUUAAGUGAAAGAAAUCAGUCCCAAAGGACACUGAGUCUAUGGUUCCGUUUAUAUACAAUGUCCACAAUAGGCAAAUCUAGAGAGACAGAAAGUAGAUUAGUGGUGGCCAGAGGCUGGGGUGAGGGGGAAUGAGGAGUUACAUUUAGUGGUGUCAUCCUUUGGGGGAGAUAAAAAUGUUUUGGAACUAGAUAGUGAUAAAGGCUGCACAACACUGUGAAUGCCGUAAAUGUCGCUAAUGGUAGAUUUUAUGUUAUAUGUGUUUUACCACAAUAAAAACAAAGUAAAAUAGAUAAUUCCUUUAAAAAAAAGCCAUAGAUUGAUUCCUUUCCCA
rnacentral:lncRNA from 1 species